GGCAGUGCAGCAUAGUGGUAAUGAGCAGGGCUCGUAACCGAAAGGUUGCUGGUUCAAUUCCCGGCUGGGCCA
rnacentral:tRNA from 1 species